rnacentral:rRNA from 1 species
UACAGAGGGGGCUAGCGUUGUUCGGAAUCACUGGGCGUAAAGCGUGCGUAGGCGGGUGUUUAAGUGCAAUGCGAAAUCCUGUGGCUCAACCAUAUGGACUGUAUUGCAUACUGGAUACCUGGAGGAAUGCAGAGGCAAGUGGAAUUACUGGUGUAGCAGUGAAAUGCGUAGAUAUCAGUAGGAACACCAAUGGCGAAGGCAGCUUGCUGGGCAUUUUCUGACGCUAAGGCACGAAAGCGUGGGGAGCGAACAGG